UAUAUAUACUCUCCGUCCCAAAAUUCUUAUCUUAGGUUUGUCUAGAUACAGAUGUACUUAAUACUAAAGCGUGACUUGAUACAUCCGUAUUUAGACAAAUUUAAGAGAAGAAUUUUGGGACGGAGGGAGUGUGUG
rfam:Triticum aestivum genome assembly, contig: Triticum_aestivum_CS42_TGACv1_scaffold_433199_5DL